rnacentral:rRNA from 1 species
GGCGUCGAGCGGCGGACGGGUGAGUAAUGCCUAGGAAAUUGCCUUGAUGUGGGGGAUAACCAUUGGAAACGAUGGCUAAUACCGCAUAAUGCCUACGGGCCAAAGAGGGGGACCUUCGGGCCUCUCGCGUCAAGAUAUGCCUAGGUGGGAUUAGCUAGUUGGUGAGGUAAUGGCUCACCAAGGCGACGAUCCCUAGCUGGUCUGAGAGGAUGAUCAGCCACACUGGAACUGAGACACGGUCCAGACUCCUACGGGAGGCAGCAG